UACAGAGGGUGCAAGCGUUGUUCGGAUUUAUUGGGCGUAAAGGGCGCGUAGGCGGUCACGCACGUCCGUUGUGAAAUCGCUCGGCUCAACUGGGCGGGGUCAGCGGAUACGGCGUGGCUGGAGCAAGCUAGGGGGCAAUGGAAUUCCCGGUGUAGUGGUGGAAUGCGUAGAUAUCGGGAGGAACACCUGCGGCGAAGGCGGGUUGCUGGGCUGACACUGACGCUGAGGCGCGAAAGCUAGGGGAGCGAACGGG
rnacentral:rRNA from 1 species